CACGUAGGCGGCUAUUCAAGUCAGAGGUGAAAGCCCGGGGCUCAACCCCGGAACUGCCUUUGAAACUAGAUAGCUUGAAUCCAGGAGAGGUGAGUGGAAUUCCGAGUGUAGAGGUGAAAUUCGUAGAUAUUCGGAAGAACACCAGUGGCGAAGGCGGCUCACUGGACUGGUAUUGACGCUGAGGUGCGAAAGCGUGGGGAGCAAACA
rnacentral:rRNA from 1 species